GGUGUGUCGGGGGCGCGCGGACUCGGGCGGGGGCUUCGGGGGCGCGCAGGAGGCCCUGGCGGCCGGCGCGGCCCCGAGAGGCGGCCCGCCUGGCCCUGUGCCGAGAGCGGGGAGCAGUCCGUGGGUUCGGUAGCACCGAGGGGAGCCGAGGCCCUCGAUGCGCAGCGUCGCAAGGAGCGCGGGUCAAUACGGUGUGAUGCGAAGGCCGUUUUUCUGGUGGGGGUCGGGGCUACGCGAAAUAACGCCCUUGCCGGUGUCAAAAACCCAGUAUUAGAGACGCUUUCUUUUGUCUGCAGUGCUGUUCCCGCCCCAGGCCUCUGGGAGGAGCAGUGCACUGGGUUUUGGACUCUUCAGGACAAAUGGUGUGGGACCCGCGAAGAACCUCUGAGCGGGACAUUCCUGGCCGGGAGAUCCCUCUCUGGCACACGCUUACUGGCCGUGUAAUUCUGGAAACAACCUGAGCCUCAGUUUACGAUCUGUAAAAUUGCAAAAAUGGUGCCCAGCUGGACGGCUGUUGUGAGCCUUCAGUGGGCGGUGGGUAUUGUACUGACUGCAGGCCUCAGGGCUGUGUGACGCCAGGUACCUGGACAGCGUCCCUGCGGUCACUGUGUUGGUCUCUUUCUCUGACACCAGCGAUGCUGUUGAAGAAGGCUGUCCAGCUCGAGGUCGGUCAUGACUUACACUGACCUGGGAGAGAGAGGGGACCCUGGCCUCGGGGGCAGAGGCACCGCGGUGAACAAGAACUCUACCCUUCAGGCCAAGUUUCAAGAAACUUCUACCAGAAGGACUAGAAAAUACCGGUUGGCAGUGAGGUCUGGUUUACCACAGGCUUUCCAAGGAAUUUAACAUUUGUUUAUUCUUGUAACAAAUUAAAAUCUAUCCUGUACUUUGUCCAGAGGUCAAGCUUGAAUACCUUGAGGCAGGAGUGAGGUUUUGUUUUUUUAAGGACAGCUCCCUACUGUUAUGUGUAAUUUGUUUCUAAAAAUGUGUGUGAACGCCAAUCAGUAUUUCUUUGAUUGGUAGAGUCACAAAUAAAAUGGAAUUUGUAGGCUCA